UUACGGGAGGCAGCAGUGAGGAAUAUUGGGCAAUGGAGGAAACUCUGACCCAGCGACGCCGCGUGCGGGAUGAAGGCCUUCGGGUUGUAAACCGCUUUCAGCAGGGAAGAAGCGAAAGUGACGGUACCUGCAGAAGAAGCACCGGCUAACUAUGUGCCAGCAGCCGCGGUAAUACAUAGGGUGCAAGCGUUGUCCGGAAUUAUUGGGCGUAAAGAGCUCGUAGGUGGUUCGUUACGUCGGAUGUGAAAAUCUGGGGCUCAACCCCAGACCUGCAUUCGAUACGGGCGAUCUAGAGUGUGGUAGGGGAGACUGGAAUUCCUGGUGUAGCGGUGGAAUGCGCAGAUAUCAGGAGGAACACCAAUGGCGAAGGCAGGUCUCUGGGCCAUUACUGACACUGAGGAGCGAAAGCGUGGGGAGCGAACAGGAUUAGAUACCCGCGUAU
rnacentral:rRNA from 1 species